UACAGAGGUCUCAAGCGUUGUUCGGAUUCAUUGGGCGUAAAGGGUGCGUAGGCGGCGCGGUAAGUCGGGUGUGAAAUCUCGGGGCUUAACUCCGAAACUGCAUUCGAUACUACCGUGCUUGAGGACUGGAGAGGAGACUGGAAUUUACGGUGUAGCGGUGAAAUGCGUAGAUAUCGUAAGGAAGACCAGUGGCGAAGGCGGGUCUCUGGACAGUUCCUGGCGCUGAGGCACGAAGGUCAGGGGAGCAAACGGG
rnacentral:rRNA from 1 species